GUCUCUUUGCUCCCCGGCUGUCUCUUUGCUCCCCCGGCUGUCUCUGGCUGUCUCUUUGCUCCCCCGGCUGUCUCUGGCUGUCUCUUUGCUCCCCCGGCUGUCUCUGGCUGUCUCUUUGCUCCCCUGGCUGUCUCUGGCUGUCUCUUUGCUCCCCUGGCUGUCUCUUUGCUCCCCUGGCUGUCUCUGGCUGUCUCUUUGCUCCCCUGGCUGUCUCUUUGCUCCCCUGGCUGUCUCUGGCUGUCUCCUCUGUCAGAGCAUCCCCGCUGCGGCUCUACCAAGCUUGAUCGG